rnacentral:rRNA from 1 species
AUACAUUACAACUUUCAGCGGUGGAUGUCUAGGUUCCCACAACGAUGAAGAACGCAGCGAAAUGCGAUACGUAAUGCGAAUUGCAAGACCUCGUGAAUCAUUAAGAUUUUGAACGCACAUUGCGCUUUCGGGAUUUUCCCGGUAGCAUGCUUGUCUGAGUGUCUGUGGA